rnacentral:misc_RNA from 1 species
GAUGAAGAACGUAGCGAAAUGCGAUAAGUAAUGUGAAUUGCAGAAUUCAGUGAAUCAUCGAAUCUUUGAACGCACAUUGCGCCCGCCAGCAUUCUGGCGGGCAUGCCUGUUCGAGCGUCAUUUCAACCCUCGAGCCCCCCCGGGGGCCUCGGUGUUGGGGGACGGCACACCAGCCGCCCCCGAAAUGCAGUGGCGACCCCGCCGCAGCCUCCCCUGCGUAGUAGCACACACCUCGCACCGGAGCGCGGAGGCGGUCACGCCGUAAAACGCCCAACCUUCUUAGAGUUGACCUCGGAUCAGGUAGGAAUACCCGCUGAACUUAAGCAUAUCAAUAAGCGGAGGA